AAGCUAGCGCAGAAUACCUACAGUCAUAGCAUAUUACCAUGUUCUAUUAGAGAAAAAGAGGCAUCCAAAAUCGGUUCAGUUAUUAUUUACUUCAGAUUACUUUUGAAAUUGAAUUAUUUACCAGAGUAAGGAUGUAAGUAUACAAAUAAAGUAUACUAAUAAUUUAUCCAACUUUAGAGCAGCUGAAAGGUCCUCAACUCAUUGGCAGUUUCAACUUCCAGACACACAACACAAUCAAGAUAUUUUCCUUCAAACAACUAAUAAUUUAUAUUGAUAUCGUUGUGGUAGGCUCCAUGAUCAUUUCAAGAAAUUUGCUACGAAGGAGGAAAGCUUGCAGAACAUGCCGACAGAGGUUAAUGAAGCUGAAUUGGAUUCUUAGUGGACUAUUUCAGUUCCGAUGCUUUUAAGAGAGAUUCAAGCACCGAGAAAGAGCCAAAUCUUCAAAAAAUUUGGGAAAUGACUCAUACGAAGUCAGGACAUUGGGUUAACGAUGCCUCUAUUGAAUUUAAUGAUAAGCUGACAGAAAUUGUUGCUGAACAAAUUCAAGAAGCGGAAAAGGGUACUGAUGUGGACCAUAUUAAUGCUGCUUUUGUGAAACUUGUUGGAGAAAAGUCAGGAUAUGCAAAAUUCAGAGAUUGGACUUCCUGCUGCAAUUUUUGACAUGAUUGCUAAUUUGAAUGGGUCGGAUAAGGCAAGUUCUACAAGUCUUAUGGAUAAUACCAUAGAUGAGCAUGUGUAGACCAACAUUCCUGGCAUCCCGUUCAUGUAAUGCACAAGCUGUUGGAAGAAGAUUUAUUUUUUGGGUUAGUAUUAGAAUAGAACUUAAGGACCUUGAAUAUAUGAUGCUUUUGAAAAUAUACUAAUAGGACUAUUAAGUUUUUGAAAGUGAGUACAUUCAGUGCAUCAAUUUUAU